UACUGUAAGUGCUACCUACCUUCUUUGUUAAUAUUAUACCUUUUAUAACCGGUACACCGGCAUCCACGACACAGGCCGAGCCUAGUGUGGAAGCCACCAAAACUCGUAAAUUUACUAACUCACACACUUCCAAUUUAAUUUCAUAAUAUUGUACUUACUCAUUUAAAUUCAUAGGUGUUUAAAUAAAUAUUUUUGAUUUUUUGA